rfam:Hordeum vulgare subsp. vulgare, WGS project CAJW01000000 data, contig: morex_contig_1563562
AAUAUACUCCCUUCGUCCUGAAUUAGUUGACUCAAAUUUGUCUAGAAAUGGAUGUUUCUAAACAUGUUUUAGUGUUAGAUACAUCCGUAUCUAGAGAAAUCUAAGUCAACUAAUUUGGGACGAAUGUUUUUU